AGUCGAGCGGUAACAUUUCUAGCUUGCUAGAAGAUGACGAGCGGCGGACGGGUGAGUAAUACUUAGGAAUCUACCUAGUAGUGGGGGAUAGCUCGGGGAAACUCGAAUUAAUACCGCAUACGACCUACGGGAGAAAGGGGGCAGUUUACUGCUCUCGCUAUUAGAUGAGCCUAAGUCGGAUUAGCUAGAUGGUGGGGUAAAGGCCUACCAUGGCGACGAUCUGUAGCUGGUCUGAGAGGAUGAUCAGCCACACCGGAACUGAGACACGGUCCGGACUCCUACGGGAGGCAGCAGUGGGGAAUAUUGGACAAUGGGGGCAACCCUGAUCCAGCCAUGCCGCGUGUGUGAAGAAGGCCUUUUGGUUGUAAAGCACUUUAAGCAGUGAAGAAGACUCCGUGGUUAAUACCCACGGACGAUGACAUUAGCUGCAGAAUAAGCACCGGCUAACUCUGUGCCAGCAGCCGCGGUAAUACAGAGGGUGCAAGCGUUAAUCGGAAUUACUGGGCGUAAAGCGAGCGUAGGUGGCUUGAUAAGUCAGAUGUGAAAUCCCCGGGCUUAACCUGGGAACUGCAUCUGAUACUGUUAGGCUAGAGUAGGUGAGAGGAAGGUAGAAUUCCAGGUGUAGCGGUGAAAUGCGUAGAGAUCUGGAGGAAUACCGAUGGCGAAGGCAGCCUUCUGGCAUCAUACUGACACUGAGGCUCGAAAGCGUGGGUAGCAAACAGGAUUAGAUACCCUGGUAGUCCACGCCGUAAACGAUGUCUACUAGUCGUUGGGUCCCUUGAGGACUUAGUGACGCAGCUAACGCAAUAAGUAGACCGCCUGGGGAGUACGGCCGCAAGGUUAAAACUCAAAUGAAUUGACGGGGGCCCGCACAAGCGGUGGAGCAUGUGGUUUAAUUCGAUGCAACGCGAAGAACCUUACCUGGUCUUGACAUAUCUAGAAUCCUGCAGAGAUGCGGGAGUGCCUUUCGGAAUUAGAAUACAGGUGCUGCAUGGCUGUCGUCAGCUCGUGUCGUGA
rnacentral:rRNA from 1 species